AAACAGCAAGCGUGAGGGUGAGUUUGUGCGAAAAGUCAUCCGUUAUGAGCUGCCACUACAAGAACUAUUACGCUGUGCGAGAAGUUCACAUCGUAGGUGCGUCAAUGUUCUUUAUGGAAGAAAGUACAAGUAGUGCCCUGGUUUACAAUGAAACCUCAGAGAAAUCUCAGGAGAGGUGAAAAAAGACACAGAAAGAGGAUAGUAGAGCUUCAGGGCAAGCAUCAUGACAAGACCUAGUAGUUUCACUCCAAAGAACAUGACGGUGCAAGUUCCAGCCAACAUGAAGAUAAUCUCGGUGGGUGUCAUGG